GAUACCAUUUAGUAGAUUGACUUAUGCAGCUUAUCUUUUAAAUCCAAUUGUUAUAAGUUCUAUGAAUUUCUUAAGUGAAAGUUCUCUACACAUUAAUUAUUCAACUUUCGGAAUUUUAUAUGUAGGAUACAUAAUAAUUGUUUACAUUUGUUCUUACAUGGUAUCGUUGAUGUUCGAAUUGCCAUACAUCUACUUGAUGAAGGAAGUAAUGGAUUAUUUGAAUAUAAAGACAUGAUUCUGUUUUUUCGCUUUCAUAAUAUUUCUUUGUCAUUGUAGCUGACGAUUGCAAUGAAAUGAAACGAUACAACUACUUUUCUUCCAUGUUUCUACGUGUUUUUUUUUUAAAUGUGGGAUGUUU